rnacentral:rRNA from 1 species
GGUCUUGACAUCCCCUUGACAACUCCAGAGAUGGAGCGUUCCCUUCGGGGACAAGGUGACAGGUGGUGCAUGGUUGUCGUCAGCUCGUGUCGUGAGAUGUUGGGUUAAGUCCCGCAACGAGCGCAACCCUUAUUACUAGUUGCCAGCAUUCAGUUGGGCACUCUAGUGAGACUGCCGGUGACAAACCGGAGGAAGGUGGGGAUGACGUCAAAUCAUCAUGCCCCUUAUGACCUGGGCUACACACGUGCUACAAUGGCGUAUACAACGAGUUGCCAACCCGCGAGGGUGAGCUAAUCUCUUAAAGUACGUCUCAGUUCGGAUUGUAGGCUGCAACUCGCCUACAUGAAGUCGGAAUCGCUAGUAAUCGCGGAUCAGCACGCCGCGGUGAAUACGUUCCCGGGUCUUGUACACACCGCCCGUCACACCAUGAGAGUUUGUAACACCCAAAGCCGGUGGGGUAACCUUCGGGAGCCAGCCGUCUAAGGUGGGACAGAUGAUUAGGGUGAAGUCGUAACAAGGUAAGCGUAGCGAG